rnacentral:lncRNA from 1 species
CCACACCCAAAUGCUGCAACAGAUGAUAUCACUUUCCAGGGUAAACACAAGCAGUGUAUUCUGAGGCCACUGGCCCGACUUCCCAGGUUGACUCAUCCUGCCUUCCAGCCUUGAAGGGCAAUAUCCUUACCAACAUGUGAUCUGAAGGAGCUCUGAACCCUCCAGUGAGACAUCAGCCCAUCAGACUCACAGAGAACAGCAGGAAGGCCAAAGACUCAAGAUUUAUCUAUCCUUGAAGCCUCCGUUAUACGAAGGGAAAACAUCCCAGACCCCCCAGUGAAUGCCUGAAACUGGAUUCUACUGAACCCUGAGAUGGUACUAAGUGACUAACGGGUGAAUAGCGUGUACAGCAUGGAUACACUAGACAAAGGGAGGAUUCGCAUCCCGGGCUGGUCAGCAAGAGGUUUCAUCACCCCACUCAAAAUGGCAGGACCGUAUGAACCUGAAUCCAGAGAAACGGCUCAUCAGUCUCCAAUCCUCUGAUUUUCUAAACCAGGACUACAUUAUAUUAAAACCAGAAAAAGCAAUACCUCUUUUCACAGAAUGGACUUUCUGGUGGAAAUGGGAGGAACCAAAAGAAGGCUGACUUCUUCAUUUUGACACCCUGCCCUGACUGCAGAACGUGAUUUCCCUAAAAGACUGAAUGUUAACCUCAAAGCCUGGUCAACCAACAUGCAGGAGAAAUCUUGACCAAGGCUCUGAGCAUGCUGUGGUCCCAGUGGUGAGGGUGUGAUAUGCACUGUCUGUUCCUGGAGUCACAGUGCUCAUCUUGUGGUAAAGACCUCUUGGAAGAAUGUCUUCAAAGGCACAUCUCCAGCUGGGAGUCCUUGUUUCCUGAUUUUUUUUUUUAAGUUUAUGUUAUAUGAACAAAUGAGACUGCUUUCCCGGCAGGAGUAGCCCUCAGACGCCCACUGUGAGCCUACUUUCUGGAAGAAGCCAACUCAGACAGACCACAGUGUGUGCACAGCAUACGUGGCUGCUGGCUGUGGAUGAGAAAGUAUUCCUGAUCUGUCAGAAUAAUGAUUUCAGCGUGUUCUCAGCAGGUCCUCAGUGUGAUCCCAUGAGGAUACCCUCAACCCCUUGCAUGACAUGUUGUACUUGGAGUCCUUCCCCAUUUCAAUUUCAGCAUCAGUGGGAGGGAAAUAGCAAAACAGCAUUCCUUCAUGUAGAUAACCAGUAGGCAGCAGGCUACUCCUGGUUCGUAACAUAACUCCACCAGUGUAUUCUGGCAGCCGGGCUUACUUAAGGGAGAGCACAGACAUUCCCUGCUCAAAAACAAAACUGCUAAACGUGACUCCGGUAGCCUCCAUGCUCUCUGCAAGAAUAAAAUCCUUGAAGAAAAAUUGUGAUAAGAAGUCUGUCUUUGGAGUCAGCCUGAGCACAAUCUUGCAUCUCCAGUUACCACCUGGGUGGCUUUAUUCACUUAAGAAAUACCUGUAGGAUACAUACUACAUGGCAGGCAUGCUUCUCAGAUGUUAGCUCAUCUUGCUAAGCCUCCAGUAUCUUCAUCUAAACAGUGAGGAUAACAGUAUGUACCUCCUAGGGCCAUCUGAGGAAAAAGUGAGAUAGUGUGUAUAAAGCUCAUAGCACAGGGCUCAUAGAGAGGAUUUGCAGUUAGUGUUGGCUGUGGCAGGUAUUAUUCCCUUUACCCCAG